GGGAGUUGUGGUCCAGCCGCCAGGCCCCCGCGCGGGGGCACCAGCUGCAGGGCCCUCUCGGUCUGCCGCGCGGGUGGGCUGGGCCGUUGCCGGGCACGCGGCCCAUGAACGUCUCGUACUGGCCUCCCUGCCCAAGACCUCCCAGGCGGUCGCCCGGAGAGGUGAGAGUGGAUCUGCACAGACUGGGUAUGAGGAUUUCUGGCAUGUGACUCAAUCCUCAUUUCUCCCAGCUCCCUAUUCUGCUCUCUUUGGAGUCUGCUGGCCCUGAGUGAUCUGUGAAGAGAGGAGAAAAUGGCCCCCAGGUUCCUGGCAGCAAGACCCUCACUGGUGACAUUCAAGGAUGUGGCUGCAGACUUUGCCCAAGAGGAGUGGCUUCUCAGAGUCACCUGUACAGAGAAGUGAUGUUGGAACUAUGAGAAAAUCUCAUCUCCUUGGGGCAUCUGCUGUCCAAACUGGAAAUGAUUUUCCAUUUUGAACAAGAAGAUGGUGUAUGGAUGGAGGAAGAAAUGCCAAGAAGCUCCUAUUCAGGUGUCAGGGAUGAGAAUGAUGGGAUUCUCCCUUGGCAGGCAUCUCCAAGAGAAAAACCCUACAGUGGUCCCCAGUGUGGCCAAGACUUCAGGCAGCUCAGAAACCUUCUACUUCACCAGCAAACCCAUACAGGAGAGAAGCCCUCUCCAUACGAUGGGCGUGGAAGAGCCUUCAGGGUAAGGACAGCAGACCUUAACUUUCCCAGGCUCCUUCCCAGAGAAAAGGCCUACCAAAGCAUGGAGCGUUCCAGAGUAUCCAACUCAGGAUCCACUCUGAGAAGGCACAGGAAGGACCACAUGGGAAAGAAACCUCACACGCGUGAGGAAUGUGGGAAGGGCUUCAGCUGCAGUUCCAACCUGUCCAUCCACUGGCGCGUCCACACGGGCGAGAGCCCUUCAGGUGCCAAGACUGCGACAAGGACUUCAGCUGCAGGGCAGCCCUGCAGACCCACCAGAACGUCCACAUAGGAAGCCCCAGGCUUGUGAGGUAUGUGGCCGGGGCUUCACUUUGCGCUCUGCGCUGGCACAACACUGGCAGACCAUGCAGGAGACAAGGCCUAUGUGUGUGACACAUGUGGCUGGGGUUUCAGCCAGAGAGCCAACCUCUACCUGCACCAGCAUGUCCAUACUGGGGAGAGACCAUUCCGGCGUGAGGCCUGUGGGAAGCAGUUCGGCCGGAGCAAGGAUCUGGGCAUCCACCAGAGGGUCCACAUGGGAGAGCAGCCCUAGAGGUGUGGGGCUUGUGAGAGGAACUUCAGGCACCAUUCAGCCCUCGGGAGACACCAGAGGGUGCACACAGGGGAGAAGCCCUGUCUCUGUGCCGUGUGUGGGAAGGGGGUUCAGUCAGAGUCCACCUGCAGACGCACCAGAAGGUGCACUGUAGGGAGAGGCUUUUGGGACUGGGCAUCGCCCAGGCCGGUGCCUUCCAGAGCCCGGGGGAAUGCCAGGGCGUGGGUGCUGAGAUGCACUACAUGGAUCAGGCUUAACGGUAUAGGGCAUUUAUUCCUGUUUAGAUGGGAAAGAUGUCAUAAGUAUGCAGGCUGGUAGAUUUUCACAAAGUGAACACACCCGUGUCCAGCACUUGAACUGGAGAAACCAAACAUUUCCAGCUCUUUCUAGAGACGUCUGCUGCUCCCUUCUUCUUGCCCCCCUACAAAGGAAAUCACUCUCUGGACUUCUAAAACCAUAUAUUUUGCAAGUUCUAGAAUAUCAUGUAAGUGGAAUUAUACAGCAUGUAGUCUUUUAUGUAGGACUUAAUUCACUCAGUGUUUGCAGGAAUCACCCAUGUUGUUGCAGGUACUCCUAAGUAGUAUUCCAUACAACACAACUGCAGUUUGUCCGUUCGCUUGUUGAUGGACAUUUACAUUUGGGUUGUUUCCAGUUUUUGGCUUUAUAAAAUUGACAUUAUAAAUAAAGCUGCUGUGAACAUCUGGGUACACAUAUACUCUGUGUGGACAUAUACUUUAAUUUCUUUCUUUUUUUUAAAGAUUUUAUUUAUUUAUUUGACAGAGCGAGACACAGCGAGAGAGGGAACACAAGCAGGGGGAGUGGGAGAGGGAGAAGCAGGCUUCCCGCUGAGCAGGGAGCCCAAUGCGGGGCUCGAUCCCAGGACCCCAGGAUCAUGACCUGAAUCGAAGGCAGAUGCUUAACGACUGAGCCACCCAGGCGCCCCUACUCUACUUUCUUUGGGGUAUUUAUAGGAGUAGAAUUGAUGAGUAUUCUAAAACUUUUUAAAAAACUGAAUUUAUUGAAGUCUUUUUUUAAACAUUUUUAAAAAAUAUUUUAUUUAUUUAUUUAUUUGAGAGAGUGAGAAUGAGAAAAAGAGAGAGAGAGAGCA